UAGGGAAUAUUGGACAAUGGGCGCAAGCCUGAUGCAGCGACGCCGCGUGAGGGAUGACGGCCUUCGGGUUGUAAACCUCUUUCACCAGGGACGAAGCGAAAGUGACGGUACCUGGAGAAGAAGCACCGGCCAACUACGUGCCAGCAGCCGCGGUAAUACGUAGGGUGCGAGCGUUGUCCGGAAUUACUGGGCGUAAAGAGUUCGUAGGCGGUUUGUCGCGUCGUUCGUGAAAACUUGGGGCUUAACUCCAAGCGUGCGGGCGAUACGGGCAGACUUGAGUACUACAGGGGAGACUGGAAUUCCUGGUGUAGCGGUGAAAUGCGCAGAUAUCAGGAGGAACACCGGUGGCGAAGGCGGGUCUCUGGGUAGUAACUGACGCUGAGGAACGAAAGCGUGGGUAGCGAAC
rnacentral:rRNA from 1 species